rnacentral:rRNA from 1 species
AUUAGAUGAGCCUAUAUUAGAUUAGCUAGUUGGUGGAGUAAUAGCCUACCAAGGCAAUGACCUAUAGCUCGAUCUGAGAGGAUGAUCAGCCACACUGGAACUGAGAUACGGUCCAGACUCCUACGGGAGGCAGCAGUGGGGAAUAUUGGACAAUGGGCGAAAGCCCGAUCCAGCCAUGCCGCAUGAGUGAAGAAGGCCUUUGGGUUGUAAAGCUCUUUUAGUGAGGAAGAUAAUGACGGUACUCACAGAAGAAGUCCUGGCUAACUCCGUGCCAGCAGCCGCGGUAAUACGGAGAGGGCUAGCGUUAUUCGGAAUUAUUGGGCGUAAAGGGCGCGUAGGCUGACUAAUAAGUUAAAAGUGAAAUCCUGAGGCUUAACCUUGGAAUUGCUUUUAAAACUAUUAAUCUAGAGAUUGAAAGAGGAUAGAGGAAUUCCUGAUGUAGAGGUAAAAUUCGUAAAUAUUAGGAGGAACACCAGUGGCGAAGGCGUCUAUCUGGUUCAAAUCUGACGCUGAAGCGCGAAGGCGUGGGGAGCAAACAGGAUUAGAUACCCUGGUAGUCCACGCUGUAAACGAUGAAUGUUAAAUAUGGGAAG